rnacentral:rRNA from 1 species
AGAGUUGGAAAUACCCGAAGCCUGUGAGCUAACUUAAAGAGGCAGCAGUCGAAGGUAGAGCCAAUGAUUGGGGUGAAGUCGUAACAAGGUAUC